rnacentral:rRNA from 1 species
AUACGUAGGGUGCAUGCGUUAAUCGGAAUUACUGGGCGUAAAGCGUGCGCAGGCGGAUUUGCAAGAAAGAGGUGAAAUACCCGGGCUCCACCUGGGAACUGCCUUUGUGACUGCAAGGCUAGAGGACGGCAGAGGGGGGAGGAAUUCCGCGUGGAGCGGGGACACGCGGAGAAAUGCGGAAGAACACCGAAGGCGAAGGCAAUCCCCUGGGCCUGUACUGACGCUCAUGCACGAAAGCGUGGGGAGCAAACAGGAUUAGAUACCCUGGUAGUCCACGCCCUAAACGAUGUCAACUGGUUGUUGGGUCUUCAUUGACUCAGUAACGAAGCUAACGCGUGAAGUUGACCGCCUGGGGAGUACGGCCGCAAGGUUUAAACUCAAAUGAAUUGACGGGG